rnacentral:lncRNA from 1 species
UCUCACAUCUCUCUCUCAACCAUCCCAAACCUUAACUGCCCUAACACCCAUGUCCCAAACCCUAGCCUCUUCUCCACCCUCUGCCUAGAGCCGCCGUUUGGAAACCGCCUUCGUUGGCCAGACUUAACCAAAUAGCCCCAAACCUACAUCAAUCAACUCCACUUCUCCUCCUCUACCUCACUACACCAACCAAAUUCACAAAAAUCCACCAAAACUAGUAGAUCUAAGACCCGAAACCCUAGCCCCACAGUACAACGCCGCUGGAACUAUGGUGGCGGCGAAACCCUAAGCCUACAUAAAAUUAUACAACAACAUCCCCAUAUCCUCCUAAAUCCCACUAUACCAACGGAUCAACCAAGAACCCCACUAAAAUCACAAGAUGUCAAAUCUAAAAAUCUAGAAACCAUAGAGCCGCCCCCUUUUAAAUUUUUCUAGUUCAUUUAAAAUCCUCCUGCCAAGAUCUCCCAAGAGGGAUCUUAGAUUGUAGGUGGGUGUAUUGGCAAGAGGGUUCUUAGCGGUUAGAUCUGAUCUUUUUUCCAAAAAAAUGUCACCUAGUUUGUAUAAUAAUCCUCGAGACAAGAUCUCUCACUCGAGAUCUCAGAUUUCUGGAGAGGGACUUGGCGCAAGGAUUUUUAGCAACUAGAUUCUUUGGCCAAAACUGUCUUCUUUUUAUUGAUUUUUUGUUUUUUCAAAUUUAUUAUUAUAUUUUUAAUUAAUUUUGUAUUUAUUUGUUUUUAUUAUUACUACUGUUUUUAUUUGUUACUAUUAUUGAGUAGAAUUGCUUUUUUUAGUGUUAUUAUUUGUUUACUGUUUUUACUUUAUUUGUUUAGGAAUUGGGCUCCACUAAAAAUGACCCAUUCCACUUGUCCCCGUAGCUUUGUAAAAGAUUAAGAGCCCAAACCCUUAUGCCCAGAGUCACUUGACUCAAGCGUAAAACCAAUCUGAUUCUGAGUAAUUCCAAGACCCUUAGGGUUAAUUUUGAAAAUAUGAUUCUGAAAAUUCUUUAGAAAAUACUAGAACCUUCUAGAAUAAAGGACAACUGUCCCAAUGCUGAGUAGGAAAACAGGGAUAAAAUUCAAAAAUAUCCAAAAAUUGAAAACUUGUCCAUUUUUUGAGAUAAGGAAGGUACUAGAAAUUAGACAACUAUUCGUUUAUAUUAAGAAAGAUGCCUUUUUCAUGAUUUUUAGGGAAUUCUAGCAGAUGCUUCUGUAUCCUAAUUCUUAUCCGUUUCCACUCAUUUACUCUAUGAAUACAUUCCUUCUUUUUAUUAGACAAAGAUUGAGAUACAUAUAGAAAAAUUCCCCAAGAAGGCAAUGAUUCUGUAUUGCUUUUUGAGCCUCUUUUUCCUUCAUUUUAGCAAAGAACUCCUGCUUAUUUCAUAUUUUUGGCUGGUAUUUCUGAGUUUGAGUUUGACGAUGUUUUGGUUUUCAGGAAUGGUAUUCUUGCUGCCAUUUCUACUCAAGUCUUUUAGAGGCUUAUUUUCCUAUUUGUCUAUUUUCUUGCUGCUAUCAAGGUACUUUCUUAACAAUUUAAAGUUUAAUCUUGCUGUAUCAUGACUAUGACUUUAUUGGUUGUCAAAAAUCUGUAUUUUCUUUGAAUACUGCACGAGUCAUGUUGAUUAAUGUUGUUUUAAUUGAGAGUUUUGUGUCUGAAUUCAUGUAAAGUUAAUUAUUUACACUGUUUUAGGCCAUUUUAAGCUAUGUUAGCUUUAAAGUUAAAGUGUUCCGAAAAUUACAAAAUCUGUUUAAGGUUCAUGUAUUCAUAAGAUCUGUAUGUUCGUAUGUAAUAGUAAAAAACAAGAAAAAAGUAUUUUUUUGAGUAGUAAUAGGCAGAUUUUGUUAUAACUGUCCAUGUUAGUAAGAUGUAAUAAUUUAGCUUUGUUUUAUAUUAUAUUUUCUUAUGCAAUGCUUCAGUUUAAUAUAUUAGUAGCUUUACGAUGCUGUUUCAAACAAUUAAAUAUAAUAAUUCUGAUUGUUAGUUUAAAAUCAUGAAAAGAUUGAAUUUUACAAGUAAGCUAAAUAGUAACCAUAAUACAUUUUCAAGCCUAAAACCAAUUGAGUUCAUAAAAUUGUAUUCUGAUUUUAUGUUAAAUAAAAUUGAAUUGGCCUUUACAUUAUAUAGGAUUUUCAAAAAAUAAAAAUGAGUUUUAAACUUAUCACUUUAAGAUAAAAUUAUAGAAAUGGAAGAGUUACGCAAUUAGUAGGAAAAAUCAUCAAAUUUAACCAUCUUGUUAUAAAAUAGAAGUCUAUUUAGAGUGAAUGUCUAAGAGUUUUAGCUUGAAGCUAAG